GAGGGUAUAGCUCAGUGGUAGGGAACAUGCUUAGCAUGCACAAGGUCCUGGGUUCAAUCCCUAGUACCACCA
rnacentral:tRNA from 1 species